rnacentral:tRNA from 1 species
GCGCCCUUAGCUCAGCUGGAUAGAGCAACGGCCUUCUAAGCCGUAGGUCGCAGGUUCGAAUCCUGCAGGGUGCACCA